UUCUUUUAUUGUGAAUGAGACUAAAAUACAUUUUAGUUUGAGCGGUUAAAAUCAAAUAUGAUUUUGCCAUGAGAAUAAUGCCGAAACUGGCAUAAUAGUCAAACAUUGUCGUCUGGCUAAUACUAGAUCCACAAAUUUUUGUACAUUUCGUUGGUACAUUUUCUCAUCUAGACUCUAAUUUGGAAUAUUAUUAUUAAUUGAAAGAUGAAUGAAGAUUACUGCCAGUGGAGAACAUUUGUGAGAAGUGUAUGACGUGCCCAUGAGAUGCCACAUUGCUAUGAUGAACUGUUACUGUUUACUAAUGAAGAUGAUUCUGGAAUUUUGGAAGUAACAGUGUAAUGUUAUGAACAUUGACAUGAACAUGAGGAACUGUCAAGCCAAGAUGAAGAUGUCAAGAUUUUAUGUUUGUUGUCUUCCCCUUAAAUUAAAAAUGCCCUUGUAAGACUUGACAGUAGUGGAAAAA